GUAUACGGGAGAGCAGCUGCUUUGUUUUCUCUCGAUCGAUCGUUCAAGCUACUCUCAAGAAACAAGCAGAGAUGGGUGGAAGUGCAAUAAGUGAUGAUUGGGAAUUCACUACAAAUGGAGCUCGGACACUAGUUCUGGUUGGAUGUACAGGUAAUGGUAAAAGUGCCACGGGGAAUAGCAUUGUUGGAAGAAAGGCAUUCAAGUCGAUGUCUAGCUCAGCUGGUGUAACAAGUACUUGUGAACUACAGAGGACUGUAUUAGAAGAUAACCAAAUUCUUGAUGUGAUUGAUACGCCAGGAUUGUUUGAUUGUUCUUCUGAACCUGAAUUUGUUGGAAACGAAAUUGUUAAGUGCAUCAAUAUGGCCAAGGAUGGGAUUCAUGCGGUUCUUGUAGUUCUGUCUGUGCGAACUCGCUUUUCAAGGGAAGAACACGCAGCAGUCCAGAGUCUGAGGGAGUUCUUUGGGAGCAAAAUCAGUGAUUACAUGAUUUUGGUUUUCACUGGUGGGGAUGAUCUUGAAGAUAAUGAUGAAACCCUGGAUGGUUACUUAGGUCGUAACUGCCCCGAGCUUUUAAAGAAUACCCUCAAGAUGUGUGGAAAUAGGCAAGUGCUUUUCGAUAACAAGACUAAAGAUCCUUUGAAGAAAGCUGAACAAUUGAAACAACUACUUUUCCUGGUAAAUGUGGUUGUGGAGAAUAAUGGUGGAAAACCAUAUACAGAUGACUUGUUCAAGGAAUUAAAGAAAGGAGCUACCAAACUUCAUAACCAGGCAACCGAGGUUAAUUCUUUGGUGGGAUAUACUAAGCAAGAGAGACUAGAGUUGAAGGAACAAAUGCAAAAGUCGUAUGAAGAGCAACUGAAGCGAAUAACUGAAGUGGUUGAGUCUAAGCUGAAGGAAACCACCCAUAGGCUUGAAGAGCAAUUGGCCAAAGAGCAGGCUGCUCGGUUGAAGGCUGAACUAAGUGCACAAAACGCACAGAAGAAAUCAGAUGAGGAGAUUCGCAAGUUGAGAGAAUAUCUGGAGAGAGCUCAAAGGGAGACAGAGGAGCUCCGAGGUCGUUCUGGCGCAUGUAACAUUCUGUGAGAAAGUUAUCUAUAUGUAUAUACUUUUGGGAAGAAUGUGCCACUAAAGUGAAUUAACUCUUCGCUUCAACUCUUUUACUACCCGUUCUAUCGUAUAGAAGAGAGUAGUACAUCUUGAUAAUGUUAAAUAUUCAGUUGGAUAUUGUCUUGAUUAGUAAUCAGAAAGAGCUCGAUGAUGAAUGAU
rnacentral:misc_RNA from 1 species